ensembl:rRNA 5S_rRNA 5S ribosomal RNA
GCCAGCAGCCAUAUCACUCUGCAACUCACAAGUGGCAACCCACUAAAGCUGAACGGAGGUGAGCCUGGUCGGUACCUGGAUGGGAGACCUCCUAGGAAAAACUAAGGUUGCUGCUUGAA